rnacentral:snoRNA from 1 species
AGGCCAUGAUGGGGACACUUGCGUAAUAGCUCCUUGAACCUUUCCCAUGUUUCAUAUAAGGAUUCCCCGUCCUCUUGUGAGUAUGUUUAAUUUCAGCCAUUAAUUU